rnacentral:rRNA from 1 species
AGAGUUUGAUCCUGGCUCAGAACGAACGCUGGCGGCGUGCCUAACACAUGCAAGUCGAACGGGGAUAAGUAGCUUGCUAUUUAUUCUAGUGGCGCACGGGUGAGUAACGCGUAGAUAAUCUGCCUUAGACUCUGGGAUAACAUCUCGAAAGGGGUGCUAAUACCGGAUAAGCCCACGGGGACGUGAGUUCUUGCGGGAAAAGGGGGCCUCUGCAUAUGCUCUUGAUCUAAGAUGAGUCUGCGUACCAUUAGCUUGUUGGUAGGGUAAUGGCCUACCAAGGCGACGAUGGUUAGCUGGUCUGAGAGGAUGAUCAGCCACACUGGGACUGAGACACGGCCCAGACUCCUACGGGAGGCAGCAGUGGGGAAUUUUGCGCAAUGGGGGAAACCCUGACGCAGCAACGCCGCGUGAGUGAUGAAGGCUUUCGGGUCGUAAAGCUUUGUCUAGAGGGAAGAAGUGAUAUUCGGUUAAUACCCGGGUUUCUUGACGGUACCUCUGAAGGAAGCACCGGCUAACUCCGUGCCAGCAGCCGCGGUAAUA